UCUCAGUUUCUGAGGUGAGUGCUUCAGCCGAGUCUGGAGGUGAUGGAGAUGCAGGCAUCAUGGAAGGAACAAGGCCAUGCUGGAGCACUGCCUGCGUGCCAGGGAGGCCAAAUGAGGCAUGGCUAAGAUGAGGAAAUGACUCAGCACAAGAAGACAGCUUUGACUCCCUAUGAUUUCCUCUCCAAUCCAACCAAUCAGCACUCCUGAGUCACUGGCUGCCCACAACCCACCAAGUUAUCCUUAAAACUCCUAUCCCCGAAUGCUUGGGGAGACUAAUUUCAGUAAUAAUAAAACUCUGG